AACGAACGCUGGCGGCAUGCCUAACACAUGCAAGUCGAACGAGACCUCCGGGCCUAGUUGCGCUCGGGUGCGUAACGCGUGGGAACCUGCCCUUAGGUUCCGAAUAACUCCCUUUAGGGGGUGCUAAUACCGGAUAAUGUCUUCGGACCAAAGAUUUAUCGCGUUUGGAUGGGCCCGCGUUGGUUUAGCCAGUUGGUAGGGUAAAAGCCUAGCAAGGCGAGGAUGCAUAGCUGGUCUGAGAGGAGGAUCAGCCACACUGGAGAUAAGACACGGCCCAGAAUCGUAGGGAAGGGAGGAGAGGGGAAUAUUGGACGAGGGGGGAAGGCCUGAUCAAGCAAUGCCGGGGAAGAGAGGAAGGGGGUAGGGUUGUGAAGCUGUUUUACACGGGAUGAUAAUGACGGUACCGGGAGAAUAAGCACCGGCUAACUCCGUG
rnacentral:rRNA from 1 species